GUGUGGUUUGGGGUAAAGUAGGUAGAAUGUGUGGUUUGUGGUAAAGUAGGUAGAAUGUGUGGUUUGGGGUAAAGUAGGUAGAAUGUGUGGUUUGGGGUAAAGUAGGUAGAAUGUGUGGUUUGUGGUAAAGUAGGUAGAAUGUGUGGUUUGUGGUAAAGUAGGUAGAAUGUGUGGUUUGGGGUAAAGUAGGUAGAAUGUGUGGUUUGUGGUAAAGUAGGUAGAAUGCGUGGUUUGGGGUAAAGUAGGUAGAAUGUGUGGUUUGGGGUAAAGAAGGUAGAAUGUGUGGUUUGGGGUAAAGAAGGUAGAAUGUGUGGUUUGUGGUAAAGUAGGAAGAAUGUGUGGUUUGGGGUAAAGAAGGUAGAAUGUGUGGUUUGUGGUAAAGAAGGUAGAAUGUGUGGUUUGGGGUAAAGAAGGUAGAAUGUGUGGUUUGUGGUAAAGAAGGUAGAAUGUGUGGUUUGUGGUAAAGUAGGUAGAAUGUGUGGUUUGUGGUAAAGUAGGUAGAAUGUGUGUUUGUGGUAAAGUAGGUAGAAUGUGUGGUUUGGGUAAAGUAGGUAGAAUGUGUGGUUUGGGUAAAAAUGGUAGAAUGUGUGGUUUGCGGUAAAGAAGGUAGAAUGUGUGCUUUGGGUAAAAAUGGUAGAAUGUGUGGUUUGUGGUAAAGUAGGUAGAAUCUGUGGUUUGGGGUAAAGUACGUAGAAUGUGUGGUUUGGGGUAAAGUACGUAGAAUGUGUGGUUUGGGGUAAAGUAGGUAGAAUGUGUGGUUUGUGGUAAAGAAGGUAGAAUGUGUGGUUUGGGGUAAAGAAGGUAGAAUGUGUGGUUUGGGGUAAAGAAGGUAGAAUGUGUGGUUUGGGGUAAAGUAGGUAGAAAAUGUGGUUUGGGGUAAAGUAGGUAGAAUGUGUGGUUUGUGGUAAAGUAGGUAGAAUGUGUGGUCUGGGUAAAGUAGGUAGAAUGUGUGGUUUGUGGUAAAGUAGGUAGAAUGUGUGGUUUGGGGUAAAGUAGGUAGAAUGUGUGGUUUGGGGUAAAGUAGGUAGAAUGUGUGGUUUGGUGUAAAAUACGUAGAAUGUGUGGUUUGGGGUAAAGUAGUUAAAAUGUGUGGUUUGGGGUAAAGUAGGUUAAAUGUGUGGUUUGGGGUAAAGUAGAUAGAAUGUGUGGUUUGUGGUAAAGUAGGUAGAAUGUGUGGUUUGGGGUAAAGUAGGUAGAAUGUGUGGUUUGUGGUAAAGUAGGUAGAAUGUGUGGUUUGUGGUAAAGAAGGUAGAAUGCGUGGUUUGGGGUAAAGAAGGUAGAAUGUGUGGUUUGUGGUAAAGAAGGUAGAAUGUGUGGUUUGGGGUAAAGAAGGUAGAAUGUGUGGUUUGUGGUAAAGUAGGUAGAAUGUGUGGUUUGGGGUCAAGAAGGUAGAAUGUGUGGUUUGUGGUAAAGUAGGUAGAAUGUGUGGUUUGUGGUAAAGAAGGUAGAAUGCGUGGUUUGGGGUAAAGUAG
rnacentral:lncRNA from 1 species